CUUACCAUGCAGUCGAACGAUGACCUGGAGCUUGCUCUGGUGAUUAGUGGCGAACGGGUGAGUAACACGUGAGUAACCUGCCCUCCACUCUGGGAUAAGCACUGGAAACGGUGUCUAAUACCGGAUAUGAGCUUCCGCCGCAUGGUGAGGAGCUGGAAAGAAUUUUGGUGGGGGAUGGACUCGCGGCCUAUCAGGUAGUUGGUGAGGUAAUGGCUCACCAAGCCGACGACGGGUAGCCGGCCUGAGAGGGUGACCGGCCACACUGGGACUGAGACACGGCCCAGACUCCUACGGGAGGCAGCAGUGGGGAAUAUUGCACAAUGGGCGAAAGCCUGAUGCAGCAACGCCGCGUGAGGGACGACGGCCUUCGGGUUGUAAACCUCUUUUAGUAGGGAAGAAGCGAAAGUGACGGUACCUGCAGAAAAAGCACCGGCUAACUACGUGCCAGCAGCCGCGGUAAUACGUAGGGUGCAAGCGUUGUCCGGAAUUAUUGGGCGUAAAGAGCUCGUAGGCGGUUUGUCGCGUCUGCUGUGAAAUCCGGAGGCUCAACCUCCGGCCUGCAGUGGGUACGGGCAGACUAGAGUGCGGUAGGGGAGAUUGGAAUUCCUGGUGUAGCGGUGGAAUGCGCAGAUAUCAGGAGGAACACCAAUGGCGAAGGCAGAUCUCUGGGCCGUAACUGACGCUGAGGAGCGAAAGCAUGGGGAGCGAACAGGAUUAGAUACCCUGGUAGUCCAUGCCGUAAACGUUGGGAACUAGGCGUAGGGUCCAUUCCACGGAUUCUGUGCCGCAGCUAACGCAUUAAGUUCCCCGCCUGGGGAGUACGGCCGCAGGUAAC
rnacentral:rRNA from 1 species